UCUUGGGGAUCGAUAUUUCUAGGGCUUUGAGCGAGGAGAAGGCGCCAUGAACGCGGACAAGAUUCGUCGCGUGAGGGAAAAGCAGCGCUACCUCCAGAGCGUGGACAAACUGGUGCAUUUGAAGAUGCCAUACGAUCGCAUCUUUGCGGUCUUCAUCCCGGGCGCUCUCAUGCUCUUCACGGGAUUCUACACGGCGCGCGGAAUCUACGAUCUUGCUCACGGCACUGGAAAGAUAGAAGGGUAGCGGAGGAGCAGCCAGCAAUGGCUGUUCCUUUCGACCUCUUUGAACAAUGUCUAAUAAGUCCUUUUGUGUUCUUGCUUUUUUCUAAGAUGUCCACUCUUUUGCUGUGA